CAAUAGCGUAUAUUAAAGUUGUUGCAGUUAAAAAGCUCGUAGUUGGAUUUCUGGUUGAAGCGACCGGUCGGGCGUUGAUUCGUCUGCACUGGAGUCGGUUUUGGCCAUCCUCUAGGAAAGUGCGUCUGGUAUUAAGUUAUCGGGCGUAUGAUCCUGGUCUUUUACUGUGAAAAAAUUAGAGUGUUUAAAGCAGGCCUUCGCCUUGAAUACAUUAGCAUGGAAUAAUAAGAUAGGACUUUGGACUAUUUUGUUGGUUUGCAGACCGAAGUAAUGAUUAAUAGGGAUAGUUGGGGGUAUUUAUAUUCCGAUGUCAGAGGUGAAAUUCUUAGAUUUUCGGAAGAUAAACUUAUGCGAAAGCAUUUACCAAGGAUGUUUUCAUUAA
rnacentral:rRNA from 1 species